rnacentral:rRNA from 1 species
ACCAGACUCCUACGGGAGGCAGCAGUGGGGAAUAUUGCACAAUGGGGGGAACCCUGAUGCAGCGACGCCGCGUGAGUGAAGAAGUAUUUCGGUAUGUAAAGCUCUAUCAGCAGGGAAGAAAAUGACGGUACCUGACUAAGAAGCCCCGGCUAACUACGUGCCAGCAGCCGCGGUAAUACGUAGGGGGCAAGCGUUAUCCGGAUUUACUGGGUGUAAAGGGAGCGUAGACGGCAGAGCAAGUCUGAAGUGAAAGCCCGCGGCCCAACCCCGGGACUGCUCUUGGAACUGCGUGGCUGGAGUGCAGGAGGAGCAGGCGGAAUUCCUGGUGCAGCGGUGAAAUGCGUAGAUAUCAGGAGGAACACCGGUGGCGAAGGCGGCCUGCUGGACUGCAACUGACGUUGAGGCCCGAAAGCGUGGGGAGCAAACAGGAUUAGAUACCCGGGUA